GAUGAACGCUGGCGGCGUGCCUAAUACAUGCAAGUCGAGCGAAUGGAUUAAGAGCUUGCUCUUAUGAAGUUAGCGGCGGACGGGUGAGUAACACGUGAGUAACCUGCCCAUAAGACUGGGAUAACUCCGGGAAACCGGGGCUAAUACCGGAUAACAUUUUGAACCGCAUGGUUCGAAAUUGAAAGGCGGCUUCGGCUGUCACUUAUGGAUGGACCCGCGUCGCAUUAGCUAGUUGCUGAGGUAACGGCCCACCAAGGCAACGAUGCGUAGCCGACCUGAGAGGGUGAUCGGCCACACUGGGACUGAGACACGGCCCAGACUCCUACGGGAGGCAGCAGUAGGGAAUCUUCCGCAAUGGACGAAAGUCUGACGGAGCAACGCCGCGUGAGUGAUGAAGGCUUUCGGGUCGUAAAACUCUGUUGUUAGGGAAGAACAAGUGCUAGUUGAAUAAGCUGGCACCUUGACGGUACCUAACCAGAAAGCCACGGCUAACUACGUGCCAGCAGCCGCGGUAA
rnacentral:rRNA from 1 species